UUCUAAAAUGGCAGAAAAGUGCAAUGGAUUUAAGCUCCAUAUAUGAAGAUCUUAUGUCUUCUUUUAGAAU
rnacentral:tRNA from 1 species